rnacentral:rRNA from 1 species
AUGAGGCGAACCGGGGGAACUGAAACAUCUAAGUACCCCGAGGAAAAGAAAUCAACCGAGAUUCCCCCAGUAGCGGCGAGCGAACGGGGAGGAGCCCAGAGCCUGAAUCAGCAUGUGUGUUAGUGGAAGCGUCUGGAAAGGCGCGCGAUACAGGGUGACAGCCCCGUACACAAAAGCGCAUGUGCUGUGAGCUCGAUGAGUAGGGCGGGACACGUGGUAUCCUGUCUGAAUAUGGGGGGACCAUCCUCCAAGGCUAAAUACUCCUGACUGACCGAUAGUGAACCAGUACCGUGAGGGAAAGGCGAAAAGAACCCCGGCGAGGGGAGUGAAAAAGAACCUGAAACCGUGUACGUACAAGCAGUGGGAGCACCCUUUUGGGUGUGACUGCGUACCUUUUGUAUAAUGGGUCAGCGACUUAU